AGAGCCAGGGGGGAAGAGGGGCUGGCUCUCAGUCACUGCCUCGUUGGGGGUGCCUCCCCCGACCUGCGAUUGGUGUCCUAAGAGCCAGGGGGGAAAGACGGGCUGGCUCUCAGUCCCCGCCUCGUGGGGGGUGCCUCCCACCCAACGAUGAGGGUCCUAAGAGCCGGGGGCGGAAGAGGGGCUGCCUCUGAGUUCCUGCCUCGUGGGGGGUGCCUCCCCCACCUGCGAUGGUGGUCCUAAGAGCCAGAGGGGGAAGAGGGGCUGGCUCUCAGUCUCUGCCUCAUGGGGGGUGCCUCUCCCCCCUGCGAUGGUGGUCCUAAGAGCCAGAGGGGGAAGAGGGGCUGGCUCUCAGUCCCCGCCUCGUGGGGGUUGCCUCCCCGCUCUGCGAUGGGGGUCCUGAGAGCCAGGGGGGAUGAGGGGCUGGCUCUCAAUCCCCGCCUCGCCGUGGGUGCCUCCCCCACUGCGAUGGGGGCUCUGAGAUUCAGGGGGGAAGAGGGGCUGGCUCUCAGUCCCUGCCUCGUUGGGGGUGCCUCCCCCCCCUGCGAUGGGGGUCCUGAGAGCCAGGGGGGGCAGAGGGGCUGGCUCUCAGUCCCUGCCUCGUGGGGGGUGCCUCCCCCCCUGCGAUGAGUGUCCUAAGAGCCUGGGGCGGAAGAGGGGCUGGCUCUCAGUCCCCGGCUCGCAGGUGGUGCCACCCCCUCUGCGAUGGGGGUCCCAAGAGCCAGGGGGGGAAACUGGGCUGCCUCUCAGCCACCACAAAAUGGGGGGCCUUUAUGUUCAGGUUUUGCGCAAGAGUCAGCUUAUUUGCUUCUUCUUCUAGCAGGGCAGUUGCUGCCAAGGCCCUCCAACAGGGGAGCCAUCCUUCAGAAACCCUGUCUAGUUGUUGAGAGACGUAGGCCACCGGCCUCAGCCGGGGCCCCACAGUUUGGGUGAAAAGUCCAGCUGCCAUCUUUUCUCUCUCUAACACAUACAAUGGAAAAGGCUUUGUCAGAUCGGGUAGCCCCGGGGCUGGGGCUGCCAGAAGUUUUUCCUUUAACUCCUGAAAGACUUGCUGUUGUUGGGAUCCCCAUUCCAAAGCUUCCCAGUGCCCACCCCCUUUGUGACCUCAUACAAAGGCUUGGCUAUUACUACAGAAUUUGGGAUCCACAGUCUACAAAACCCCACAGCUCCUGAGAAUUCUCUCGGCUGCCUUCGGCCCUUAGGCUCUGGUAGAUUGCAAAUAACCUGCUUUCUUUCUGUUCCCGGGCGGCGUCGGACCCCUGUCGGAGAGUAAAUCCGAAGUAAGGUACCUGCCGUCGGCAGAUUUGAGCUUUCUUCUUGGACACCCAAUACCCACAGUCCUCCAGGCUCCGGUGGAUUGCAAAUGACCUGCUUUCUUUCUGUUCCCGGGCUGCGUUCAGACCCCUGUCGGAUAGUAAAUCCCAAAUAAGGUACCUGCCUUCAGCAGAUUUGAGCUUUCUUCUUGGACAUCUAAUACCCACAGUCCUCCAGGUGGGUCCUAAGGUUCUUAGGAUCUGCGAUGGGGGUCCUAAGCCGGGGGGGAUGAGGGGAUGGCUCUCGGUCCCCGCCUCAUGGGGGGUGCCUCCCCCCCUGCGAUGGGGCCCCUAAGAGCCAGGGGGGAAGUGGGGCUUGCUCUCAGUCCCCGCCUCGCGGGGGGUGCCUCCCCCUUCUGCGAUGCGGGUUCUAAGAGCCACAGGGGGAAGAGGGGCUGGCUCUCAGUCCCCUCCUCGUGGGGGGUGCCUCCCCACCCAGCGAUGGGGGUCCUGAGAGCCGAGGGGGAUGAGGGGCUGGCUCUCAGUACCUGCCUCGUGGGGGGUGCCUCCCCCUCCUGCGAUGGAGGUCCUAAGAGCCAGAGGGGGAAUAGGGGCUGGCUCGCAGUCCCUGCCUCGUUGGGGGUGCCUCCCCCCCUCUGCGAUGGGGGUCCUGAGAGCCGGGGGGGAUGAGGGGCUGGUUCUCAGUCCCCGCCUCGUCGGGGGUGCCUCCCCCCCUGCGAUGGGGGCCCUGAGAGCCAGGGGGGAAGAGGGGCUGGCUCUCAUUCCGUGCCUCGUUGGGGGUGCCUCCCCCCUUGCGAUGGGGGCCCUGAGAGCCAGGGGGGAAGAGGGGCUGGCUCUCAGUCCCCGCCUCGUGGGGGUUGCCUCCCCCCUCUGCGAUGGGGGUCCUGAGAGCCAGGGGGGAUGAGGGGCUGGCUCUCAUUCCCCGCCUCGAGGUGGGUGCCUCCCCCCUGUGAUGGGGGCCCUGAGAGCCAGGGGGGAAGAGGGGCUGGCUCUCAGUCCCUGCCUCGUUGGGGGUGCCUCCCCCCACCUGCGAUUGGUGUCCUAAGAGCCAGGGGGGAAAGACGGGCUGGCUCUCAGUCCCCGCCUCGUGGGGGGUGCCUCCCACCCAACGAUGGGGGUCCUAAGAGCCGGGGGCGGAAGAGGGGCUGCCUCUGAGUCCCUGCCUCGUGGGGGGUGCCUCCCCCUCCUGCGAUGGUGGUCCUAAGAGCCAGAGGGGGAAGAGGGGCUGGCUCUCAGUCUCUGCCUCAUGGGGGGUGCCUCCCCCCCCUGCGAUGGGAGUCCCGAGAGCCGGGGGGCAUGAGGGGCUGGCUCUCAAUCCCCGCCUCGCCGUGGGUGCCUCCCCCACUGCGAUGGGGGCCCUGAGAUUCAGGGGGGAAGAGGGGCUGGCUCUCAGUCCCUGCCUCGUUGGGGGUGCCUCCCCCCCCUGCGAUGGGGGUCCUGAGAGCCAGGGGGGGCAGAGGGGCUGGCUCUCAGUCCCUGCCUCGUGGGGGGUGCCUCCCCCCCUGCGAUGAGUGUCCUAAGAGCCUGGGGCGGAAGAGGGGCUGGCUCUCAGUCCCCGGCUCGCAGGUGGUGCCACCCCCUCUGCGAUGGGGGUCCCAAGAGCCAGGGGGGGAAACUGGGCUGCCUCUCAGCCACCACAAAAUGGGGGGCCUUUAUGUUCAGGUUUUGCGCAAGAGUCAGCUUAUUUGCUUCUUCUUCUAGCAGGGCAGUUGCUGCCAAGGCCCUCCAACAGGGGAGCCAUCCUUCAGAAACCCUGUCUAGUUGUUGAGAGACGUAGGCCACCGGCCUCAGCCGGGGCCCCACAGUUUGGGUGAAAAGUCCAGCUGCCAUCUUUUCUCUCUCUAACACAUACAAUGGAAAAGGCUUUGUCAGAUCGGGUAGCCCCGGGGCUGGGGCUGCCAGAAGUUUUUCCUUUAACUCAUGAAAGACUUGCUGUUGUUGGGAUCCCCAUUCCAAAGCUUCCCAGUGCCCACCCCCUUUGUGACCUCAUACAAAGGCUUGGCUAAUACUACAGAAUUUGGGAUCCACAGUCUACAAAACCCCACAGCUCCUGAGAAUUCUCUCGGCUGCCUUCGGCCCUUAGGCUCUGGUAGAUUGCAAAUAACCUGCUUUCUUUCUGUUCCCGGGCGGCGUCGGACCCCUGUCGGAGAGUAAAUCCCAAGUAAGGUACCUGCCGUCGGCAGAUUUGAGCUUUCUUCUUGGACACCCAAUACCCACAGUCCUCCAGGCUCCGGUAGAUUGCAAAUGUCCUGCUUUCUUUCUGUUCCCGGGCUGCGUUUGGACCCCUGUCGGAUAGUAAAUCCCAAGUAAGGUACCUGCUGUGGGCAGAUUUGAGCUUUCUUCUUGGACACCUAAUACCACAGUCCUCCAGGUGGGUCCAAAGGUUCUUAGGAUCCGCGAUGGGGGUCCUAAGCCAGGGGGGGAUGAGGGGCUGGCUCCCAGUCCCCGUCUCGCGGGGGGUGCCUCCCCCCUCUGCGAUGCGGGUUGUAAGAGCCACAGGGGGAAGAGAGGCUGGCUAUCAGUACCUGCCUCAUGGGUGGUGCCUCCCCCCCACUGCGAUGGGGGUCCUGAGAGCCGGGGGGAUGAGGGGCUGGUUCUCAGUCCCCGCCUCGUGGGGGGUGCCUCCCUCCCUGCGAUGGGGGCCCUGAAAACCAGGGGGGAAGAGGGGCUGGCUCUCAUUCCGUGCCUCGUUGGGGGUGCCUCCCCCCCCCUGCGGUGGGGGCCCUGAAAGCCAGGGGGGAAGAGGGGCUGGCUCUCAGUCCGUGCCUCGUUGGGGGUGCCUCCCCCCCUGCGAUGGCUGUCCUAAGAGCUAUAGGGGGAAGAGGGGCUGGCUCUCAGUCCCUGCCUCGUGGGGGUUGCCUCCCCCCUCUGCGAUGGGGGUCCUGAGAGCCAUGGGGGAUGAGGGGCUGGCUGUCAUUCCCCACCUCGAGGUGGGUGCCUCCCCCCUGCGAUGGGGGCCCUGAGAGCCAGGGGGGAAGAGGGGCUGGCUCUCAGUCCCUGCCUCGUGGGGGGUGCCUCCCCCUCCUGCGAUGGAGGUCCAAAGAGCCAGAGGGGGAAGAGGGGCUGGCUCUCAGUCCCUGCCUCGUUGGGGGUGCCUCCCCCCCUCUGCGAUGGGGGUCCUGAGAGCCGGGGGGGAUGAGGGGCUGGUUCUCAGUCCCCGCCUCGUCGGGGGUGCCUCCCACCCAACGAUCGCGGUCCUAAGAGCCGGGGGCGGAAGAGGGGCUCCCUCUGAGUCCCUGCCUCGUGGGGGGUGCCUCCCCCUCCUGCGAUGGUGGUCCUAAGAGCCAGAGGGGGAAGAGGGGCUGGCUCUCAGUCUCUGCCUCAUGGGGGGUGCCUCCCCCCCCUGCGAUGGGAGUCCUGAGAGCCGGGGGGGAUGAGGGGCUGGCUCUCAAUCCCCGCCUCGCCGUGGGUGCCUCCCCCACUGCGAUGGGGGCCCUGAGAUUCAGGGGAAAGAGGGGCUGGCUCUCAGUCCCUGCCUCGUUGGGGGUGCCUCCCCCCCCUGCGAUGGGGGUCCUGAGAGCCAGGGGGGGCAGAGGGGCUGGCUCUCAGUCCCUGCCUCGUGGGGGUGCCUCCCCCCCUGCGAUGAGUGUCCUAAGAGCCUGGGGCGGAAGAAGGGCUGGCUCUCAGUCCCCGGCUCGCAGGUGGUGCCACCCCCUCUGCGAUGGGGGUCCCAAGAGCCAGGGGGGGAAACUGGGCUGCCUCUCAGCCACCACAAAAUGGGGGGCCUUUAUGUUCAGGUUUUGCGCAAGAGUCAGCUUAUUUGCUUCUUCUUCUAGCAGGGCGGUUGCUGCCAAGGCCCUCCAACCCGGGAGCCAUCCUUCAGAAACCCUGUCUAGUUGUUGAGAGACGUAGGCCACCGGCCUCAGCCAGGGCCCCACAGUUUGGGUGAAAAGUCCAGCUGCCAUCUUUUCUCUCUCUAACACAUACAAUGGAAAAGGCUUUGUCAGAUCGGGUAGCCCCGGGGCUGGGGCUGCCAGAAGUUUUUCCUUUAACUCGUGAAAGACUUGCUGUUGUUGGGAUCCCCAUUCCAAAGCUUCCCAGUGCCCACCCCCUUUCUGACCUCAUACAAAGGCUUGGCUAAUACUACAGAAUUUGGGAUCCACAGUCUACAAAACCCCACAGCUCCUGAGCAUUCUCUCGGCUGCCUUCGGCCCUUAGGCUCUGGUAGAUUGCAAAUAACCUGCUUUCUUUCUGUUCCCGGGCGGCGUCGGACCCCUGUCGGAGAGUAAAUCCGAAGUAAGGUACCUGCCGUCGGCAGAUUUGAGCUUUUUUCUUGGACACCCAAUACCCACAGUCCUCCAGGCUCCGGUGGAUUGCAAAUGACCUGCUUUCUUUCUGUUCCCGGGCUGCGUUCAGACCCCUGUCGGAUAGUAAAUCCCAAAUAAGGUACCUGCCUUCAGCAGAUUUGAGCUUUCUUCUUGGACAUCUAAUACCCACAGUCCUCCAGGUGGGUCCUAAGGUUCUUAGGAUCUGCGAUGGGGGUCCUAAGCCGGGGGGGAUGAGGGGAUGGCUCUCGGUCCCCGCCUCAUGGGGGGUGCCUCCCCCCCUGCGAUGGGGCCCCUAAGAGCCAGGGGGGAAGUGGGGCUGGCUCUCAGUCCCCGCCUCGCGGGGGGUGCCUCCCCCCUCUGCGAUGCGGGUUCUAAGAGCCACAGGGGGAAGAGGGGCUGGCUCUCAGUCCCCUCCUCGUGGGGGGUGCCUCCCCACCCAGCGAUGGGGGUCCUGAGAGCCGAGGGGGAUGAGGGGCUGGCUCUCAGUACCUGCCUCGUGGGGGGUGCCUCCCCCUCCUGCGAUGGAGGUCCUAAGAGCCAGAGGGGGAAGAGGGGCUGGCUCUCAGUCCCUGCCUCGUUGGGGGUGCCUCCCCCCCUCUGCGAUGGGGGUCCUGAGAGCCGGGGGGGAUGAGGGGCUGGUUCUCAGUCCCCGCCUCGUCGGGGGUGCCUCCCCCCCUGCGAUGGGGGCCCUGAGAGCCAGAGGGGAAGAGGGGCUGGCUCUCAGUCCCUGCCUCGUUGGGGGUGCCUCCCCCCCCUGCGAUGGGGGUCCUGAGAGCCAGGGGGGGCAGAGGGGCUGGCUCUCAGUCCCUGCCUCGUGGGGGGUGCCUCCCCCUCCUGCGAUGGUGGUCCUAAGAGCCAGAGGGGGAAGAGGGGCUGGCUCUCAGUCUCUGCCUCAUGGGGGGUGCCUCCCCCCCCUGCGAUGGGAGUCCUGAGAGCCGGGGGGGAUGAGGGGCUGGCUCUCAAUCCCCGCCUCGCCGUGGGUGCCUCCCCCACUGCGAUGGGGGCCCUGAGAUUCAGGGGGGAAGAGGGGCUGGCUCUCAGUCCCUGCCUCGUUGGAGGUGCCUCCCCCCCCCUGCGAUGGGGGUCCUGAGAGCCAGGGGGGGCAGAGGGGCUGGCUCUCAGUCCCUGCCUCGUGGGGGGUGCCUCCCCCCCUGCGAUGAGUGUCCUAAGAGCCUGGGGCGGAAGAGGGGCUGGCUCUCAGUCCCCGGCUCGCAGGUGGUGCCACCCCCUCUGCGAUGGGGGUCCCAAGAGCCAGGGGGGGAAACUGGGCUGCCUCUCAGCCACCACAAAAUGGGGGGCCUUUAUGUUCAGGUUUUGCGCAAGAGUCAGCUUAUUUGCUUCUUCUUCUAGCAGGGCGGUUGCUGCCAAGGCCCUCCAACCCGGGAGCCAUCCUUCAGAAACCCUGUCUAGUUGUUGAGAGACGUAGGCCACCGGCCUCAGCCAGGGCCCCACAGUUUGGGUGAAAAGUCCAGCUGCCAUCUUUUCUCUCUCUAACACAUACAAUGGAAAAGGCUUUGUCAGAUUGGGUAGCCCCGGGGCUGGGGCUGCCAGAAGUUUUUCCUUUAACUCGUGAAAGACUUGCUGUUGUUGGGAUCCCCAUUCCAAAGCUUCCCAGUGCCCACCCCCUUUGUGACCUCAUACAAAGGCUUGGCUAAUACUACAGAAUUUGGGAUCCACAGUCUACAAAACCCCACAGCUCCUGAGAAUUCUCUCGGCUGCCUUCGGCCCUUAGGCUCUGGUAGAUUGCAAAUAACCUGCUUUCUUUCUGUUCCCGGGCGGCGUCGGACCCCUGUCGGAGAGUAAAUCCGAAGUAAGGUACCUGCCGUCGGCAGAUUUGAGCUUUCUUCUUGGACACCCAAUACCCACAGUCCUCCAGGCUCCGGUGGAUUGCAAAUGACCUGCUUUCUUUCUGUUCCCGGGCUGCGUUCAGACCCCUGUCGGAUAGUAAAUCCCAAAUAAGGUACCUGCCUUCAGCAGAUUUGAGCUUUCUUCUUGGACAUCUAAUACCCACAGUCCUCCAGGUGGGUCCUAAGGUUCUUAGGAUCUGCGAUGGGGGUCCUAAGCCGGGGGGGAUGAGGGGAUGGCUCUCGGUCCCCGCCUCAUGGGGGGUGCCUCCCCCCCUGCGAUGGGGCCCCUAAGAGCCAGGGGGGAAGUGGGGCUUGCUCUCAGUCCCCGCCUCGCGGGGGGUGCCUCCCCCUUCUGCGAUGCGGGUUCUAAGAGCCACAGGGGGAAGAGGGGCUGGCUCUCAGUCCCCUCCUCGUGGGGGGUGCCUCCCCACCCAGCGAUGGGGGUCCUGAGAGCCGAGGGGAAUGAGGGGCUGGCUCUCAGUACCUGCCUCGUGGGGGGUGCCUCCCCCUCCUGCGAUGGAGGUCCUAAGAGCCAGAGGGGGAAUAGGGGCUGGCUCGCAGUCCCUGCCUCGUUGGGGGUGCCUCCCCCCCUCUGCGAUGGGGGUCCUGAGAGCCGGGGGGGAUGAGGGGCUGGUUCUCAGUCCCCGCCUCGUCGGGGGUGCCUCCCCCCCUGCGAUGGGGGCCCUGAGAGCCAGGGGAGAAGAGGGGCUGGCUCUCAUUCCGUGCCUCGUUGGGGGUGCCUCCCCCCUUGCGAUGGGGGCCCUGAGAGCCAGGGGGGAAGAGGGGCUGGCUCUCAGUCCCCGCCUCGUGGGGGUUGCCUCCCCCCUCUGCGAUGGGGGUCCUGAGAGCCAGGGGGGAUGAGGGGCUGGCUCUCAUUCCCCGCCUCGAGGUGGGUGCCUCCCCCCUGUGAUGGGGGCCCUGAGAGCCAGGGGGGAAGAGGGGCUGGCUCUCAGUCCCUGCCUCGUUGGGGGUGCCUCCCCCCACCUGCGAUUGGUGUCCUAAGAGCCAGGGGGGAAAGACGGGCUGGCUCUCAGUCCCCGCCUCGUGGGGGGUGCCUCCCACCCAACGAUGGGGGUCCUAAGAGCCGGGGGCGGAAGAGGGGCUGCCUCUGAGUCCCUGCCUCGUGGGGGGUGCCUCCCCCUCCUGCGAUGGUGGUCCUAAGAGCCAGAGGGGGAAGAGGGGCUGGCUCUCAGUCUCUGCCUCAUGGGGGGUGCCUCCCCCCCCUGCGAUGGGAGUCCCGAGAGCCGGGGGGCAUGAGGGGCUGGCUCUCAAUCCCCGCCUCGCCGUGGGUGCCUCCCCCACUGCGAUGGGGGCCCUGAGAUUCAGGGGGGAAGAGGGGCUGGCUCUCAGUCCCUGCCUCGUUGGGGGUGCCUCCCCCCCCUGCGAUGGGGGUCCUGAGAGCCAGGGGGGGCAGAGGGGCUGGCUCUCAGUCCCUGCCUCGUGGGGGGUGCCUCCCCCCCUGCGAUGAGUGUCCUAAGAGCCUGGGGCGGAAGAGGGGCUGGCUGUCAGUCCCCGGCUCGCAGGUGGUGCCACCCCCUCUGCGAUGGGGGUCCCAAGAGCCAGGGGGGGAAACUGGGCUGCCUCUCAGCCACCACAAAAUGGGGGGCCUUUAUGUUCAGGUUUUGCGCAAGAGUCAGCUUAUUUGCUUCUUCUUCUAGCAGGGCAGUUGCUGCCAAGGCCCUCCAACAGGGGAGCCAUCCUUCAGAAACCCUGUCUAGUUGUUGAGAGACGUAGGCCACCGGCCUCAGCCGGGGCCCCACAGUUUGGGUGAAAAGUCCAGCUGCCAUCUUUUCUCUCUCUAACACAUACAAUGGAAAAGGCUUUGUCAGAUCGGGUAGCCCCGGGGCUGGGGCUGCCAGAAGUUUUUCCUUUAACUCAUGAAAGACUUGCUGUUGUUGGGAUCCCCAUUCCAAAGCUUCCCAGUGCCCACCCCCUUUGUGACCUCAUACAAAGGCUUGGCUAAUACUACAGAAUUUGGGAUCCACCGUCUACAAAACCCCACAGCUCCUGAGAAUUCUCUCGGCUGCCUUCGGCCCUUAGGCUCUGGUAGAUUGCAAAUAACCUGCUUUCUUUCUGUUCCCGGGCGGCGUCGGACCCCUGUCGGAGAGUAAAUCCCAAGUAAGGUACCUGCCGUCGGCAGAUUUGAGCUUUCUUCUUGGACACCCAAUACCCACAGUCCUCCAGGCUCCGGUAGAUUGCAAAUGUCCUGCUUUCUUUCUGUUCCCGGGCUGCGUUUGGACCCCUGUCGGAUAGUAAAUCCCAAGUAAGGUACCUGCUGUGGGCAGAUUUGAGCUUUCUUCUUGGACACCUAAUACCACAGUCCUCCAGGUGGGUCCAAAGGUUCUUAGGAUCCGCGAUGGGGGUCCUAAGCCAGGGGGGGAUGAGGGGCUGGCUCCCAGUCCCCGUCUCGCGGGGGGUGCCUCCCCCCUCUGCGAUGCGGGUUGUAAGAGCCACAGGGGGAAGAGAGGCUGGCUAUCAGUACCUGCCUCAUGGGUGGUGCCUCCCCCCCACUGCGAUGGGGGUCCUGAGAGCCGGGGGGAUGAGGGGCUGGUUCUCAGUCCCCGCCUCGUGGGGGGUGCCUCCCUCCCUGCGAUGGGGGCCCUGAAAACCAGGGGGGAAGAGGGGCUGGCUCUCAUUCCGUGCCUCGUUGGGGGUGCCUCCCCCCCCGUGCGGUGGGGGCCCUGAAAGCCAGGGGGGAAGAGGGGCUGGCUCUCAGUCCGUGCCUCGUUGGGGGUGCCUCCCCCCCUGCGAUGGCUGUCCUAAGAGCUAUAGGGGGAAGAGGGGCUGGCUCUCAGUCCCUGCCUCGUGGGGGUUGCCUCCCCCCUCUGCGAUGGGGGUCCUGAGAGCCAUGGGGGAUGAGGGGCUGGCUCUCAUUCCCCACCUCGAGGUGGGUGCCUCCCCCCUGCGAUGGGGGCCCUGAGAGCCAGGGGGGAAGAGGGGCUGGCUCUCAGUCCCUGCCUCGUGGGGGGUGCCUCCCCCUCCUGCGAUGGAGGUCCAAAGAGCCAGAGGGGGAAGAGGGGCUGGCUCUCAGUCCCUGCCUCGUUGGGGGUGCCUCCCCCCCUCUGCGAUGGGGGUCCUGAGAGCCGGGGGGGAUGAGGGGCUGGUUCUCAGUCCCCGCCUCGUCGGGGGUGCCUCCCACCCAACGAUCGCGGUCCUAAGAGCCGGGGGCGGAAGAGGGGCUGCCUCUGAGUCCCUGCCUCGUGGGGGGUGCCUCCCCCUCCUGCGAUGGUGGUCCUAAGAGCCAGAGGGCGAAGAGGGGCUGGCUCUCAGUCUCUGCCUCAUGGGGGGUGCCUCCCCCCCCUGCGAUGGGAGUCCUGAGAGCCGGGGGGGAUGAGGGGCUGGCUCUCAAUCCCCGCCUCGCCGUGGGUGCCUCCCCCACUGCGAUGGGGGCCCUGAGAUUCAGGGGAAAGAGGGGCUGGCUCUCAGUCCCUGCCUCGUUGGGGGUGCCUCCCCCCCCUGCGAUGGGGGUCCUGAGAGCCAGGGGGGGCAGAGGGGCUGGCUCUCAGUCCCUGCCUCGUGGGGGUGCCUCCCCCCCUGCGAUGAGUGUCCUAAGAGCCUGGGGCGGAAGAAGGGCUGGCUCUCAGUCCCCGGCUCGCAGGUGGUGCCACCCCCUCUGCGAUGGGGGUCCCAAGAGCCAGGGGGGGAAACUGGGCUGCCUCUCAGCCACCACAAAAUGGGGGGCCUUUAUGUUCAGGUUUUGCGCAAGAGUCAGCUUAUUUGCUUCUUCUUCUAGCAGGGCGGUUGCUGCCAAGGCCCUCCAACCCGGGAGCCAUCCUUCAGAAACCCUGUCUAGUUGUUGAGAGACGUAGGCCACCGGCCUCAGCCAGGGCCCCACAGUUUGGGUGAAAAGUCCAGCUGCCAUCUUUUCUCUCUCUAACACAUACAAUGGAAAAGGCUUUGUCAGAUCGGGUAGCCCCGGGGCUGGGGCUGCCAGAAGUUUUUCCUUUAACUCGUGAAAGACUUGCUGUUGUUGGGAUCCCCAUUCCAAAGCUUCCCAGUGCCCACCCCCUUUCUGACCUCAUACAAAGGCUUGGCUAAUACUACAGAAUUUGGGAUCCACAGUCUACAAAACCCCACAGCUCCUGAGCAUUCUCUCGGCUGCCUUCGGCCCUUAGGCUCUGGUAGAUUGCAAAUAACCUGCUUUCUUUCUGUUCCCGGGCGGCGUCGGACCCCUGUCGGAGAGUAAAUCCGAAGUAAGGUACCUGCCGUCGGCAGAUUUGAGCUUUUUUCUUGGACACCCAAUACCCACAGUCCUCCAGGCUCCGGUGGAUUGCAAAUGACCUGCUUUCUUUCUGUUCCCGGGCUGCGUUCAGACCCCUGUCGGAUAGUAAAUCCCAAAUAAGGUACCUGCCUUCAGCAGAUUUGAGCUUUCUUCUUGGACAUCUAAUACCCACAGUCCUCCAGGUGGGUCCUAAGGUUCUUAGGAUCUGCGAUGGGGGUCCUAAGCCGGGGGGGAUGAGGGGAUGGCUCUCGGUCCCCGCCUCAUGGGGGGUGCCUCCCCCCCUGCGAUGGGGCCCCUAAGAGCCAGGGGGGAAGUGGGGCUGGCUCUCAGUCCCCGCCUCGCGGGGGGUGCCUCCCCCCUCUGCGAUGCGGGUUCUAAGAGCCACAGGGGGAAGAGGGGCUGGCUCUCAGUCCCCUCCUCGUGGGGGGUGCCUCCCCACCCAGCGAUGGGGGUCCUGAGAGCCGAGGGGGAUGAGGGGCUGGCUCUCAGUACCUGCCUCGUGGGGGGUGCCUCCCCCUCCUGCGAUGGAGGUCCUAAGAGCCAGAGGGGGAAGAGGGGCUGGCUCUCAGUCCCUGCCUCGUUGGGGGUGCCUCCCCCCCUCUGCGAUGGGGGUCCUGAGAGCCGGGGGGGAUGAGGGGCUGGUUCUCAGUCCCCGCCUCGUCGGGGGUGCCUCCCCCCCUGCGAUGGGGGCCCUGAGAGCCAGAGGGGAAGAGGGGCUGGCUCUCAGUCCCCGCCUCGUUGGGGGUGCCUCCCCCCCCUGCGAUGGGGGUCCUGAGAGCCAGGGGGGGCAGAGGGGCUGGCUCUCAGUCCCUGCCUCGUGGGGGGUGCCUCCCCCUCCUGCGAUGGUGGUCCUAAGAGCCAGAGGGGGAAGAGGGGCUGGCUCUCAGUCUCUGCCUCAUGGGGGGUGCCUCCCCCCCCUGCGAUGGGAGUCCUGAGAGCCGGGGGGGAUGAGGGGCUGGCUCUCAAUCCCCGCCUCGCCGUGGGUGCCUCCCCCACUGCGAUGGGGGCCCUGAGAUUCAGGGGGGAAGAGGGGCUGGCUCUCAGUCCCUGCCUCGUUGGAGGUGCCUCCCCCCCCUGCGAUGGGGGUCCUGAGAGCCAGGGGGGGCAGAGGGGCUGGCUCUCAGUCCCUGCCUCGUGGGGGGUGCCUCCCCCCCUGCGUUGAGUGUCCUAAGAGCCUGGGGCGGAAGAGGGGCUGGCUCUCAGUCCCCGGCUCGCAGGUGGUGCCACCCCCUCUGCGAUGGGGGUCCCAAGAGCCAGGGGGGGAAACUGGGCUGCCUCUCAGCCACCACAAAAUGGGGGGCCUUUAUGUUCAGGUUUUGCGCAAGAGUCAGGUUAUUUGCUUCUUCUUCUAGCAGGGCAGUUGCUGCCAAGGCCCUCCAACAGGGGAGCCAUACUUCAGAAACCCUGUCUAGUUGUUGAGAGACGUAGGCCACCGGCCUCAGCCAGGGCCCCACAGUUUGGGUGAAAAGUCCAGCUGCCAUCUUUUCUCUCUCUAACACAUACAAUGGAAAAGGCUUUGUCAGAUCGGGUAGCCCCGGGGCUGGGGCUGCCAGAAGUUUUUCCUUUAACUCAUGAAAGACUUGCUGUUGUCGGGAUCCCAUUCCAAAGCUUCCCAGUGCCCACCCCCUUUGUGACCUCAUACAAAGGCUUGGCUAAUACUACAGAAUUUGGGAUCCACAGUCUACAAAACCCCACAGCUCCUGAGAAUUCUCUCGGCUGCCUUCGGCCCUUAGGCUCUGGUAGAUUGCAAAUAACCUGCUUUCUUUCUGUUCCCGGGCGGCGUCGGACCCCUGUCGGAGAGUAAAUCCGAAGUAAGGUACCUGCCGUCGGCAGAUUUGAGCUUUCUUCUUCGACACCCAAUACCCACAGUCCUCCAGGCUCCGGUGGAUUGCAAAUGACCUGCUUUCUUUCUGUUCCCGGGCUGCGUUCAGACCCCUGUCGGAUAGUAAAUCCCAAAUAAGGUACCUGCCUUCAGCAGAUUUGAGCUUUCUUCUUGGACAUCUAAUACCCACAGUCCUCCAGGUGGGUCCUAAGGUUCUUAGGAUCUGCGAUGGGGGUCCUAAGCCGGGGGGGAUGAGGGGAUGGCUCUCGGUCCCCGCCUCAUGGGGGGUGCCUCCCCCCCUGCGAUGGGGCCCCUAAGAGCCAGGGGGGAAGUGGGGCUGGCUCUCAGUCCCCGCCUCGCGGGGGGUGCCUCCCCCCUCUGCGAUGCGGGUUCUAAGAGCCACAGGGGGAAGAGGGGCUGGCUCUCAGUCCCCUCCUCGUGGGGGGUGCCUCCCCACCCAGCGAUGGGGGUCCUGAGAGCCGAGGGGGAUGAGGGGCUGGCUCUCAGUACCUGCCUCGUGGGGGGUGCCUCCCCCUCCUGCGAUGGAGGUCCUAAGAGCCAGAGGGGGAAGAGGGGCUGGCUCUCAGUCCCUGCCUCGUUGGGGGUGCCUCCCCCCCUCUGCGAUGGGGGUCCUGAGAGCCGGGGGGGAUGAGGGGCUGGUUCUCAGUCCCAGCCUCGUCGGGGGUGCCUCCCCCCCUGCGAUGGGGGCCCUGAGAGCCAGAGGGGAAGAGGGGCUGGCUCUCAGUCCCUGCCUCGUUGGGGGUGCCUCCCCCCCCUGCGAUGGGGGUCCUGAGAGCCAGGGGGGGCAGAGGGGCUGGCUCUCAGUCCCUGCCUCGUGGGGGGUGCCUCCCCCUCCUGCGAUGGUGGUCCUAAGAGCCAGAGGGGGAAGAGGGGCUGGCUCUCAGUCUCUGCCUCAUGGGGGGUGCCUCCCCCCCCUGCGAUGGGAGUCCUGAGAGCCGGGGGGGAUGAGGGGCUGGCUCUCAAUCCCCGCCUCGCCGUGGGUGCCUCCCCCACUGCGAUGGGGGCCCUGAGAUUCAGGGGGGAAGAGGGGCUGGCUCUCAGUCCCUGCCUCGUUGGAGGUGCCUCCCCCCCCUGCGAUGGGGGUCCUGAGAGCCAGGGGGGGCAGAGGGGCUGGCUCUCAGUCCCUGCCUCGUGGGGGGUGCCUCCCCCCCUGCGAUGAGUGUCCUAAGAGCCUGGGGCGGAAGAGGGGCUGGCUCUCAGUCCCCGGCUCGCAGGUGGUGCCACCCCCUCUGCGAUGGGGGUCCCAAGAGCCAGGGGGGGAAACUGGGCUGCCUCUCAGCCACCACAAAAUGGGGGGCCUUUAUGUUCAGGUUUUGCGCAAGAGUCAGGUUAUUUGCUUCUUCUUCUAGCAGGGCAGUUGCUGCCAAGGCCCUCCAACAGGGGAGCCAUACUUCAGAAACCCUGUCUAGUUGUUGAGAGACGUAGGCCACCGGCCUCAGCCAGGGCCCCACAGUUUGGGUGAAAAGUCCAGCUGCCAUCUUUUCUCUCUCUAACACAUACAAUGGAAAAGGCUUUGUCAGAUCGGGUAGCCCCGGGGCUGGGGCUGCCAGAAGUUUUUCCUUUAACUCAUGAAAGACUUGCUGUUGUUGGGAUCCCCAUUCCAAAGCUUCCCAGUGCCCACCCCCUUUGUGACCUCAUACAAAGGCUUGGCUAAUACUACAGAAUUUGGGAUCCACAGUCUACAAAACCCCACAGCUCCUGAGAAUUCUCUCGGCUGCCUUCGGCCCUUAGGCUCUGGUAGAUUGCAAAUAACCUGCUUUCUUUCUGUUCCCGGGCGGCGUCGGACCCCUGUCGGAGAGUAAAUCCCAAGUAAGGUACCUGCCGUCGGCAGAUUUGAGCUUUCUUCUUGGACACCCAAUACCCACAGUCCUCCAGGCUCCGGUAGAUUGCAAAUGUCCUGCUUUCUUUCUGUUCCCGGGCUGCGUUUGGACCCCUGUCGGAUAGUAAAUCCCAAGUAAGGUACCUGCUGUGGGCAGAUUUGAGCUUUCUUCUUGGACACCUAAUACCACAGUCCUCCAGGUGGGUCCAAAGGUUCUUAGGAUCCGCGAUGGGGGUCCUAAGCCAGGGGGGGAUGAGGGGCUGGCUCCCAGUCCCCGUCUCGCGGGGGGUGCCUCCCCCCUCUGCGAUGCGGGUUGUAAGAGCCACAGGGGGAAGAGAGGCUGGCUAUCAGUACCUGCCUCAUGGGUGGUGCCUCCCCCCCACUGCGAUGGGGGUCCUGAGAGCCGGGGGGAUGAGGGGCUGGUUCUCAGUCCCCGCCUCGUGGGGGGUGCCUCCCUCCCUGCGAUGGGGGCCCUGAAAACCAGGGGGGAAGAGGGGCUGGCUCUCAUUCCGUGCCUCGUUGGGGGUGCCUCCCCCCCCGUGCGGUGGGGGCCCUGAAAGCCAGGGGGGAAGAGGGGCUGGCUCUCAGUCCGUGCCUCGUUGGGGGUGCCUCCCCCCCUGCGAUGGCUGUCCUAAGAGCUAUAGGGGGAAGAGGGGCUGGCUCUCAGUCCCUGCCUCGUGGGGGUUGCCUCCCCCCUCUGCGAUGGGGGUCCUGAGAGCCAUGGGGGAUGAGGGGCUGGCUCUCAUUCCCCACCUCGAGGUGGGUGCCUCCCCCCUGCGAUGGGGGCCCUGAGAGCCAGGGGGGAAGAGGGGCUGGCUCUCAGUCCCUGCCUCGUUGGGGGUGCCUCCCCCCAUCUGCGAUGGGGGUCCUGAGAGCCGGGGGGGAUGAGGGGCUGGUUCUCAGUCCCCGCCUCGUCGGGGGUGCCUCCCACCCAACGAUCGCGGUCCUAAGAGCCGGGGGCGGAAGAGGGGCUGCCUCUGAGUCCCUGCCUCGUGGGGGGUGCCUCCCCCUCCUGCGAUGGUGGUCCUAAGAGCCAGAGGGCGAAGAGGGGCUGGCUCUCAGUCUCUGCCUCAUGGGGGGUGCCUCCCCCCCCUGCGAUGGGAGUCCUGAGAGCCGGGGGGGAUGAGGGGCUGGCUCUCAAUCCCCGCCUCGCCGUGGGUGCCUCCCCCACUGCGAUGGGGGCCCUGAGAUUCAGGGGGGAAGAGGGGCUGGCUCUCAGUCCCUGCCUCGUUGGAGGUGCCUCCCCCCCCUGCGAUGGGGGUCCUGAGAGCCAGGGGGGGCAGAGGGGCUGGCUCUCAGUCCCUGCCUCGUGGGGGGUGCCUCCCCCCCUGCGAUGAGUGUCCUAAGAGCCUGGGGCGGAAGAGGGGCUGGCUCUCAGUCCCCGGCUCGCAGGUGGUGCCACCCCCUCUGCGAUGGGGGUCCCAAGAGCCAGGGGGGGAAACUGGGCUGCCUCUCAGCCACCACAAAAUGGGGGGCCUUUAUGUUCAGGUUUUGCGCAAGAGUCAGCUUAUUUGCUUCUUCUUCUAGCAGGGCAGUUGCUGCCAAGGCCCUCCAACAGGGGAGCCAUCCUUCAGAAACCCUGUCUAGUUGUUGAGAGACGUAGGCCACCGGCCUCAGCCGGGGCCCCACAGUUUGAGUGAAAAGUCCAGCUGCCAUCUUUUCUCUCUCUAACACAUACAAUGGAAAAGGCUUUGUCAGAUCGGGUAGCCCCGGGGCUGGGGCUGCCAGAAGUUUUUCCUUUAACUCAUGAAAGACUUGCUGUUGUUGGGAUCCCCAUUCCAAAGCUUCCCAGUGCCCACCCCCUUUGUGACCUCAUACAAAGGCUUGGCUAAUACUACAGAAUUUGGGAUCCACAGUCUACAAAACCCCACAGCUCCUGAGAAUUCUCUCGGCUGCCUUCGGCCCUUAGGCUCUGGUAGAUUGCAAAUAACCUGCUUUCUUUCUGUUCCCGGGCGGCGUCGGACCCCUGUCGGAGAGUAAAUCCGAAGUAAGGUACCUGCCGUCGGCAGAUUUGAGCUUUCUUCUUGGACACCCAAUACCCACAGUCCUCCAGGCUCCGGUAGAUUGCAAAUGUCCUGCUUUCUUUCUGUUCCCGGGCUGCGUUUGGACCCCUGUCGGAUAGUAAAUCCCAAGUAAGGUACCUGCUGUGGGCAGAUUUGAGCUUUCUUCUUGGACACCUAAUACCACAGUCCUCCAGGCGGCGUCGGACCCCUGUCGGAGAGUAAAUCCGAAGUAAGGUACCUGCCGUCGGCAGAUUUGAGCUUUCUUCUUGGACACCCAAUACCCACAGUCCUCCAGGCUCCGGUAGAUUGCAAAUGUCCUGCUUUCUUUCUGUUCCCGGGCUGCGUUUGGACCCCUGUCGGAUAGUAAAUCCCAUGUAAGGUACCUGGUGUCGGCAGAUUUGAGCUUUCUUCUUGGACACCUAAUACCACAGUCCUCCAGGCUCCGGUAUCUUACAAAUAACCUUCUUUCUUUCCGUUCCUUGGUGGCGUCGGACCCAUGUGGGAGAGUAAAUCCCAAUUAAAGUACCUGCUGUCGGCAGAUUUGAGCUUUCUUCUUGGACUCCUAAUACCCACAGUUCUCCAGGAAUGGAACAGAUAAGAAGAUACUGAGAUUGGACGGUGCUGCCGUGUGGCCGCCGCAGGACACUUUUAAUAUCCCUGUUCCUCAGGCUGUAGAUGAAGGGGUUCAGCAUGGAGGUGAUCACCGUGUACAUCACUGAGGCCACUGCAGCCUUUCUCGGGGAAGAUGACACAUCUGAACUGAGGUACCCUCCAACGCCUGUUCCGUAAAAUCAGCAAACAACUGACAGGAUAACUUCAGGAAGUGGGUAUUAAUUCUCACUGUAUAAGUGAAGACAUUAAGCACCAGAGUUUAAGUAGCUUGAUCCACUGAAAGAGAUUCAACUGUGUGGAACCUAUGCCGCGGAGAAUUGCUUUCUGCCAUUGUUAUUGUCCAGCAGUUGCCGAAUAGCUCUGACCUGAGCAAAGCAGUGAAACGCGGUGCUGCUGAGUGGGUUGCCACUGCACCCUUUUCAACUACUAGUCUUGUGGAGAAAACACCCCUUCUAAAGUUUUUCUUCAUUGAAUACUGUCCCGCAGCUCCAGGGUACCAUAUAGAGUUUUCUUGUAUUUUAGAGUUACUGUUUUAUCAAAGUUUACCAGUCUUUUGUAUUACAUUUCUCCUGUCUAAAUCAACUGUGUGGUUUCUACUCAUUAUGGAUAUAGAUUGAUACAAACUCAAUAAAUAUUUUUGAAUGAAUAA